rnacentral:rRNA from 1 species
GUAAACGAUGUCAACUAGUUGUUCGUGUCUUUGAGACGUGAGUAACGCAGCUAACGCACUAAGUUGACCGCCUGGGGAGUACGGCCGCAAGGUUAAAACUCAAAUGAAUUGACGGGGGCCCGCACAAGCGGUGGAGCAUGUGGUUUAAUUCGAUGCAACGCGAAGAACCUUACCAUCCCUUGACAUCCAGAGAAUUUUCUAGAGAUAGAUUAGUGCCUUCGGGAACUCUGAGACAGGUGCUGCAUGGCUGUCGUCAGCUCGUGUUGUGAGAUGUUGGGUUAAGUCCCGCAACGAGCGCAACCCUUAUCCUUAGUUGCCAGCACUAAGGUGGGAACUCUAGGGAGACUGCCGGUGAUAAACCGGAGGAAGGUGGGGACGACGUCAAGUCAUCAUGGCCCUUACGGGAUGGGCUACACACGUGCUACAAUGGCGCACACAAAGGGCAGCAAGCGCGCGAGUGCAAGCGAAUCUCAAAAAGUGCGUCGUAGUCCGGAUUGGAGUCUGCAACUCGACUCCAUGAAGUCGGAAUCGCUAGUAAUCGUGGAUCAGAAUGCCACGGUGAAUACGUUCCCGGGCCUUGUACACACCGCCCGUCACACCAUGGGAGUGGGCUGCACCAGAAGUAGAUAGCUUAACCUUCGGGAGGGCGUUUACCACGGUGUGGUUCAUGACUGGGGUG